UUGCGGUUAAAAAGCUCGUAGUUGGAUCUCGGCGGGCAGGGGGGUGGUUCGCUCUUCAGCGCUACUGCCCCGCUUUGCCCGUGUGAUUGGCGGAGGUUUCGGGGUGCUCUUCGUUGAGUGACUCGGAGCGCCGUCAGGUUUACUUUGAAAAAAUUAGAGUGCUCAAAGCAGGCUUUUCACGCUUGAAUAUUCGUGCAUGGAAUAAUGGAAUAGGAACUCGUUUCUAUUUUGUUGGUUUUCGGAAAUCGAGUUAAUGAUUAACAGGGACAAUUGGGGGCAUUAGUAUUCAGACGACAGAGGUGAAAUUCUUGGACCGUCUGAAGACUGACUACUGCGAAAGCAUUUGCCAAGAGUGUUUUCAUUAAUCAAGAACGAAAGUUAGAGGUUCGAAGGCGAUCAGAUACCGCCCUAGUCCUAACCAUAAACGAUGCCAGCUAACGAUCUGCCGAGUUUUUUUUGUAGGCUCCGCAGGAAGCUUUCGGGAAACCAAAGCUUUUGGGUUCCGGGGGAAGUAUGGUUGCAAAGCUGAAACUUAAAGGAAUUGACGGAAGGGCACCACCAGGAGUGGAGCCUGCGGCUUAAUUUGACUCAACACGGGAAAUCUCACCANGCCCGGACACUGGAAGGAUUGACAGAUUGAGAGCUCUUUCUCGAU
rnacentral:rRNA from 1 species